rnacentral:rRNA from 1 species
GAUGAACGCUGGCGGCGUGCUUAACACAUGCAAGUCGAACGAACCUUCGGGUUAGUGGCGGACGGGUGAGUAACGCGUGAGAAUCUGCCCUCAGGAGGGGGAUAACGGUUGGAAACGACCGCUAAUANCCCCAUAUGCCGAGAGGUGAAAUGAAUUUCGCCUGAGGAUGAGCUCGCGUCUGAUUAGCUAGUUGGUGUGGUAAUGGCGCACCAAGGCUUCGAUCAGUAGCUGGUCUGAGAGGAUGAUCAGCCACACUGGGACUGAGACACGGCCCAGACUCCUACGGGAGGCAGCAGUGGGGAAUCUUCCGCAAUGGGCGAAAGCCUGACGGAGCAACGCCGCGUGAGGGAUGAAGGCCUCUGGGCUGUAAACCUCUUUUCUCAAGGAAGAAGAUCUGACGGUAC